GGGCUUGUGGUUUAGUGGUAUAAUACUCCCUUAGCACCGAGGGUCCUCUUCCGAGACACCCACGAAUUUGGGAGUGGUCCGGGGUUCGAUUCCCCGCGAGUCCA